rnacentral:rRNA from 1 species
UACAGAGGUCUCGAGCGUUAGGCGGAAUCACUGGGCUUAAAGCGUGUGUAGGCGGAUCGUUAAGUGCCUUGUGAAAUCCCACGGCUUAACCGUGGAACUGCUUGGCAUACUGGCGGUCUUGAGCAACCUAGGGGCGAGCGGAACAAAUGGUGGAGCGGUGAAAUGCGUAGAUAUCAUCUGGAACGCCGAAGGUGAAAACAGGUCGCUGGGGGUGUGCCGACGCUGAGACACGAAAGCCAGGGGAGCGAACGGG